CGCAAAGGUAAUUAUUUCUAGGAAAUAAUGAAAUUUUACAUUGGUCCUAACUUCGUAUUUUUUCUCAUAUGUAGAUUGUGAACAUUCGUCUAAGCCGUCAUUAUUUUCUAUUAAAUAAUACGGAUAGACAAAAUUCUACACCUAUAGUGGAUUUGAAUUCCACAAUUCCGGCGCAUGUUAGUCAGCGGAGGCCGACUAUUUCGUGCCGGAAGCCUUUUAUAUUUCUGGUCUGCCGCCUGCAGAACCAAAAAAAACAACAACAGUGAAGUGCAGUGCAUCUCUGGGCAGAUCACUCUUGCACCACUGUGCCGAGCCGCGCAAGGCUCUUGUACCAGAAUCGUCACUUCUCUCGUUUGCCGCUUCUAUCGUUCGCCGUCUCCACUCAGCAGCAGCAGCAUCAGCAGCAGUGCAGUGCCAGUGCCAGUGCUAGUGAAGAUGUGUAGUGCAAGUUUGUGAAUAAUAGUAUGACAAAAAUAAGUUUGUUAAAAUUAAAAGGUCAUACAAUAGUUGUACACAGAGGCAAUAAGAAAAGGGGUAAAAGCCCAAAUAAAAAGCAAAAAAGAUUUGCAUUUGCCGUCAAUUAAUAUAUUGACAACAACAAUUUAGUUGCCAUACAUAUAAAAUAAUAAGUAACGAAAAAGAUAACGAAAAGUAAAGAGAAAUAUCAAUUGUAAUUUGGCACUUAUUUUUUUUUUGCGCUAUUUUUUUUGGUUUGCUUUGCUUUGUUUACCAUUAUUGCCCUAGGCCUUAAAGGGUAUAUCCAACGUGAAACACAAUAAUUCAAAAAAAUAUAUAAAUAAAUAAAUAAUGCAAAUAUAAUCUCAUACAUAAUAACAAGCCACAAUAAAACCCUGUGCAAAACAAUAAUAAUUAUGUCAAUGUGUGUGUAUGUGAACAACCAAACAAAAGUAUAUACCUUUUAAGGUAUAUAAACAAUCAUUAUUAUCAUCAUCAUUAAAAUCAUUAUCAUCAUCAACAUCAUCAUCACCAACAGCAACAACAUCAUGAAGGCCUUCGUCGUGGAGUUCUGUCGGGUAAGUUUUAAGUCCGAGUGUCCGAAAUAAAAAAAUACAUAAAAGAAGUUUUAUAACAUAAAUAUUCGUACAUAUGUAAUUACAUACAUACAUACAUACAUAUGUUGGUGCCUGUUCGGCCACGCAGCAGCUGCCCACAGUUUUGCUUGCAUUGUAUUUUUUCAUACUUCUUCGCAGUUGCGAAAGCUUCAAACAGCAUAUGAGCUGUCGGCUGAUACCCUAACUUUUGGGUCAGGCCUAUACCUUUUUAGUACUGAUUUGCUUCCACUUGUAUUGUCACUAUUAUUAUUGUUUGUUGGUACAGCACAGUGGUUUGAACAUGAUUUACAAAUAAAUUAAUAAAAAGUCAAUAUUAAUUUUGGAUAAAUAAAAUAUAAAAAGUAAAUAUAAAUAAAAUAAUAACAAUUAAAAAUAAAAUAAUAAAACUUAUAAAUAAAAUAAAUAAAAAUUAAAUAAUAAAUAUGAUUCAAUAAUAAAUACAAUAAAAUAAAUAUUAAACAUGAGUAAAAAUAUUAAACCAAAAAUAAAAAUAAAUUCAAUACAAUUUUUUUUUGUUUAAAUAUGAUUAAAA